rnacentral:tRNA from 1 species
GUCCACGUAGUGCAGCGGCCGAGCACGCCCCUCUACUGGGUCAAGCCAGCGAGGGGAGACGCGGGUUCGAAUCCCGUCGUGGACUC